CAGGAUGGUAGAGAGCCUUGCCGAGA
rnacentral:piRNA from 1 species